rnacentral:rRNA from 1 species
UACGUAGGUGGCAAGCGUUGUCCGGCAUUAUUGGGCGUAAAGCGCGCGCAGGCGGCCUUUUAAGUCUGAUGUGAAAGCCCCCGGCUCAACUGGGGAGGGUCACGCGAUACUGAUCGACUCGAAGGCAGGAGAGGGUAGUGGAAUUCCCGGUGUAGUGGUGAAAUGCGUAGAUAUCGGGAGGAACACCAGUGGCGAAGGCGACUACCUGGCCUGUUCUUGACGCUGAGGCGCGAAAGCUAGGGGAGCAAACGGG